UACAGAGGUCUCAAGCGUUGUUCGGAUUCAUUGGGCGUAAAGGGUGCGUAGGUGGCGCGGUAAGUCGGGUGUGAAAUUCCUGGGCUCAACCUGGGGGCUGCGUUUGAUACGUAUGGUCUUGAGUGGGGAAGAGGGUCGUGGAAUUCCCAGUGUAGAGGUGAAAUUCGUAGAUAUUGGGAGGAACACCAGUGGCGAAGGCGACUUCCUGGCCUGUUCUUGACGCUGAGGCGCGAAAGCUAGGGUAGCAAACGG
rnacentral:rRNA from 1 species